GGUCUUGCCAUCAGCUGAACAAAUACAAAAAUUGGAAUGAAACUGAAAAGAUUAGUAUAGUCUCUGCACAAGGCUGGAAGGCAAAACCGAAAUGCAUUCCAUAUUGAA